rnacentral:rRNA from 1 species
CCUACGGGUGGCUGCAGUGGGGAAUAUUGGACAAUGGGCGAAAGCCUGAUCCAGCCAUGCCGCGUGUGUGAAGAAGGCCUUCGGGUUGUAAAGCACUUUCAGUGGGGAAGAAAGCCUUGGGGCUAAUACCCUCGAGGAAGGACAUCACCCACAGAAGAAGCACCGGCUAACUCCGUGCCAGCAGCCGCGGUAAUACGGAGGGUGCGAGCGUUAAUCGGAAUUACUGGGCGUAAAGCGCGCGUAGGCGGUCUGAUAAGCCGGUUGUGAAAGCCCCGGGCUCAGCCUGGGAACGGCAUCCGGAACUGUCAGGCUAGAGUGCAGGAGAGGAAGGUAGAAUUCCCGGUGUAGCGGUGAAAUGCGUAGAGAUCGGGAGGAAUACCAGUGGCGAAGGCGGCCUUCUGGACUGACACUGACGCUGAGGUGCGAAAGCGUGGGUAGCAAACAGGAUUAGAUACCCGAGUAGUC